CUCUAUACUCCUUCUUUACAUAAGUUAAGUCGGGAAAGUUUUUCGGUGUAGGAUGAGGCUAUAUCGUAUCAGCUAGUUGGUGAGGUAAUGGCUCACCAAGGCUAUGACGCGUAACUGGUCUGAGAGGAUGAUCAGUCACACUGGAACUGAGACACGGUCCAGACUCCUACGGGAGGCAGCAGUAGGGAAUAUUGCUCAAUGGGGGAAACCCUGAAGCAGCAACGCCGCGUGGAGGAUGACACUUUUCGGAGCGUAAACUCCUUUUCUUGGGAAAGAAUUAUGACGGUACCCAAGGAAUAAGCACCGGCUAACUCCGCGCCAGCAGCCGCGGUAAUACGGAGGGUGCAAGCGUUACUCGGAAUCACUGGGCGUAAAGGACGCGUAGGCGGAUUAUCAAGUCUUGAGUGAAAUCUAACGGCUUAACCGUUAAACUGCUUGGGAAACUGAUAAUCUAGAGUAAGGGAGAGGCAGAUGGAAUUCUUGGUGUAGGGGUAAAAUCCGUAGAGAUCAAGAAGAAUACCCAUUGCGAAGGCGAUCUGCUGGAACUUAACUGACGCUAAUGCGUGAAAGCGUGGGGGAGCAAACAGGAUUAGAUAC
rnacentral:rRNA from 1 species